CAAACACUAAGCUCCUGAAAUCAAUUUCCCCCAAAUCAAUUCUCUCACUUGAAAGUCGUCAUGUUCCUCAAAUCCAUUCUUGCAGCUUACGCGGUAUCCCAAAUCAAGGUAAUUUACGUAUUUCUCCGUGUUAUUGAGAAGAUGUCGUGGAAAUGGACGCAAUCCUGGAAGUGUUGUUGAAUGUCGGUUUCGAAAGUUGAAGAAACCAGAUGUCUCGGGUGGAUAGUUGCUGCUGGGACUCUGGGACAAGGUUAAUGAUGGUUUCUUUGUUAGAUUUGGUCUUGGAUUCCGAGGGGAUGAAGAAAAUCAGAGAGGAUUUUUUUUAAGGAACAUAGUGAUUAUUCAACUAUUGUUGAUGAAGUUGGAUUUUGUGUGCGUAUGUGAGAAAUCUGCCAAAUAGAAAGAUGCACAGCCACGAUAAAUUAUGUGAUAUCAGUUUGGUGUUUUUGUUUUUUUGGUAAUGUUGCUGGAAAAUAUGUGGGGCAUAGAUUCUUAUCGUCAUCUUUUUGUCCAAAUACGUCCCAAACUUUUGUUACCUUAUUUUUAAUGGAUGGAGAGAGAAGAAGCAUUACGAUCUAGUGUUGCUCAUCUUAUAAAUUUGGAUUUACCAAAAUGAGUUCAAUAUACAGCUUUAGUCGCUGAACUUGAUGCAAUCAAAUGACAACUAAAACUGAAGACCAACAGCAAUUUGAAGAAACUAGAAACAGCAUAUCUGAUGGAAAUUAUGGAUCUGCAAAGGCAGACCUAGA
rnacentral:lncRNA from 1 species